rnacentral:lncRNA from 1 species
UGGGCCACACUUACAUGAGAAGUUGCUCGCAGAGUCCCGCGUCACUUGGGAGUCCUGCGUGUCCCACCUGGCAGGCUGUCCCAAGGCCCUGCCAGGAGUCGGGCGGGGUGAAGGCCUGGCUGCAGCUUUGGGCCAGCUGACCGCCUGGGCCGAUUGGGUCGGCCUGGGAGGGGCAGGGCCUGCUUCGUCCCUGGGAAGUGACCUGGCCUGGACAGAGGCCUUCUGUCGGCAGUGGCAGCUGUGGCCGCAAGGGUGGCAGGCGAGGUCUCGGUGUGUACGGCGGGGUCAGCCACGGCCCGGCUCCUCUGGGGUCCGUGCCCUGAGGGCAGGGGGGCCUCGAGCAGGCGUCCAGAACCAGCCAUGGGCUGAGGGCCCCACAGGCAGCUCUUCUCUCUGGACGGUUCAUGCAGAAACCUGGUCUGCUGUGUCUCAGGACAGAAAGGCGAAAGCCAGCAGCCCGGAGCCUCCUGACAACACAGCCACUGUUUGGGGAGGUGUGGUUUUUGUGUUUUUUGCGUUUUUUCUUAGGGCGGUGUGUGCGGCAUAUGAAAGUUCCCAGGCUAGGGCCUGGGAUCCUCCGUAUGCUGCGGGGGUGGCCCUAAAUAGCAAAAAAAAAAAAAAGUAAAUCAAGUGGCCCCAGCCUAGCCCUGAAGGGUGUCCCGCGUCCCUAAGCGCAGCGAGGCUCCGUGCGGCCCCAGGAGCAAACCCGUGUGUCACAGGGCAGCCGGCGUGAGUCGGGUGCUCAGGAACCCGUGGUACCGCAUGUUCCAAACCCAGCGUCUUUAAACCGAGUUGCACAGAGAGCAAGGCUGUGUGUCGGUCGGCUGGUGGCAACGUGGCCGGAGCCUGGGGGGACCCUGCCCCCGGCUCCCCCGGGGCAGUGGCUCCGUUCUCGCUAGUUCGGUGUUGGUGCUGACUUCAGGGAACGCAAUUACUGUGACUAGUGGGGCGGCCUGUGUGUGUGCGUGCGUUUAAAAAUUAAAGUCAGGUCUGUUGAAGCUCCCUUUCAACAUACCCUUUUGUGUAUCUGGCUCUUUGAUUUUGGCAAAUGCACCCACUUGUGUCAGCUGCACAUCUUGGGAACGUUGGUGGACCUGCAGGUCUCCCUUUUGCCUUUUGUUGUUUGCCCCUCCCCCAGCUCCAGCCACCUCUGAUCUGUCCCUGUCACUCCAGGUUUCCCUUUUGCCGAAUGUCACUCGAGGAACCACGCAGUGUGCCGGCUUCUUUGCCGGAGCGUGAGGCCUCCGGGGCUGUCAGCGCGUUCGGCGAGCUGCCUGCCUGCUGCGUGGGGCCUGGUGCGUGCAUGCACCAGGGUUUGUUCAGUCGACGGACCGGUGACGCUUGAACUUGGCACUGCAGGCUGCCCUGGCGUGGUCCUCGAGGCGGCGGCUUGUUAGCAGCAGGCGGUCAUUGCUCACGGUUCCGGAGGCUGCUGUCCCUCAUCGAGGCUCCGACAGACUCCGUGUCUGACGGGAGCCCACUUCCUGGGCAGGGAGCUCUGGGGGCUUUUAGAAGAAAGAACUCGGAUCCCACUUGGGGGUGCACCCCGAGCACCUCCCACAGCGCCCGCCAGUGCCGUCGUGCCGGGGGUCAGGCUUCGGCAUGAAUUUUUGAAAGACAUGAGUGUCCACGUUGUACGGGGGGUAUUUCCGGCUUCCGCGGCGGCCGCGGGAGGCCGCUGUGCACACCCCUGCCCAGCUUUCCCUGGGAACACGUGUCCUCGCCGGGGGAGAAGGGGCCCGGCAGCGGGCUGGCCUGGACCUGUGCCAGGGCCUCCUCACAGCACUCGAUCUGGGCAGGUGGUUCCGCAAGGCUUUCGGACAGGUGUGCCCGGCACCUCACCACAGUUUCUUCUCUUUUCUUUCCUUUUAGGGCCGCACCCACGGCAUCUGAACGUUCUCAGGCUGGGGGUGGAGGUGCAGCCGCGGCUCCUCCAGAUCCUGAACCCGCUGAGCGAGGCCAGGGACCGACCGCACCCUCACACACUCGAGUCAGGUUCUUGACCUGCCGAGCCACAGCGCGCGCUCCCGCAGUGUCAGUACGCGCUUGCCUGAGGGUCCCCGAUUCCCGGAGGCGUGCCGUGGGUUUGCUCGCCUCCCUGUGCCUUCGGUCCGGUGUUUACACAGAUCUGUGGCUGGUUGUUCACAUUAGAAAGAAGCUUUUGGUUGAGGUGUGUGAGUGGUAUGUUCUGGAUGUCAGCCUUUUACCAAACAGGUAUUUUGCAAACUUUUCUCUAUUUUUUUGCACAUUUUGUGUAUGGACUCUGCCUGCUCUGAGGUCACAGAGAUUUUUUCCUGUUUUCUUGUCCGAUGUUUAUGGUUUUGGGUUUGACAUGGAGGGUUGUGGCCCAUCUUGUGGCCGAGGUCUCUGGUGUCUGGCUCGGUGUGCGAGUGUCCCAUUAGGCCUCCCAUUUCGUGACCUCUUGACCUCCGUGCCAAACGAGCGGCACUUCUCUCGCACCCAUUUCCCGCGUGUCCGUCAUCCCCUGGGCUCCUCGGCCCCCUUCCAUCCGGCAUGCGCGCUGCCCGGAUGGCCGGGACUUCGCAGGGACCUUGGUCCGGGAACGGGCAUCUCCGACUCUGUCCUUUGUUCCGUGUUGCUCAGCCAACCCUGGCCUGGCGUUUCCUGCAUAAAGUCGGGGGUUGGCUCCCUGGUUUCUACAGAAAAGAAGAGUGGCGUUUAGAUCCGGGGUAGGUUGAGCCCGUGGUUUAGACCAGUUUGGGGACAACUGGCAUCUUCACCUGUGCCGCGUCCUCGGCUGUGGCCCGCUGCCUGUUUCUGUAUGACUCACGAGCUAAGAAUGGCUCUUACGUUUUUAAAUGGUUGAGAAAAAAAAAAAA